rnacentral:rRNA from 1 species
CCUACGGGCUGCACCAGUGGGGAAUUUUCCGCAAUGGGCGAAAGCCUGACGGAGCAAUGCCGCGUGUGUGAAGAAGGUCUUCGGAUUGUAAAGCACUUUCGACGGGGGCGAUGAUGACGGUACCCGUAGAAGAAGCCCCGGCUAACUUCGUGCCAGCAGCCGCGGUAAUACGAAGGGGGCUAGCGUUGCUCGGAAUGACUGGGCGUAAAGGGCGCGUAGGCGGUUUAUGCAGUCAGAUGUGAAAUCCCCGGGCUUAACCUGGGAACUGCAUUUGAGACGCAUAGACUAGAGGUCGAGAGAGGGUUGUGGAAUUCCCAGUGUGGAGGUGAAAUUCGUAGAUAUUGGGAAGAACACCGGUGGCAAAGGCGGCAACCUGGCUCGAUACUGACGCCGAGGCGCGAAAGCGUGGGGAGCAAACAGGAUUAGAUACCCGCGUAGUC